CAAAGCCCCAAAUUUCGAUUUCUCAGCAAACUCAAAGAGUAACAAAGAGCCUUCAAUCCCAAUAAUUUCUUUCAAAAAAAUUGCACAAGAUGCAGUCAUUUGGUGCUAUGCAAUCAAUGACUUCCAAUAUAUUUUCAGCCUACGCAUCUGUUGCAGCAUCAAUGAUGCUAUUUCGAUCCAUGGCGCAUGAUAUUAUUCUGGAGCCCGUAAAAUCUUACAUCGUAUCUGUUUUCACUCGAAUUUUCAACUAUUUUUUCACUCCAUUGUCGACCCGAAUCACAAUGGUGGUGGACGAGAAAAGUGGGAUGACCCGCAACGAAAUCUACGACUCUGUUGGAACCUGCAGAAGCCU
rnacentral:lncRNA from 1 species